GACGAACGCUGGCGGCGUGCCUAACACAUGCAAGUCGAGCGCGAAAAGGGCAACCUGAGUAGAGCGGCGCACGGGUGCGUAACACGUGGGUAAUCUGCCUUAGAGUCGAGGAUAACCUUCCGAAAGGUUGGCUAAUACUCGGUAAGCUUACGGUGUCUUCGGACGCUGUGGGAAAAGUAGGCCUCUGUUUACAAGCUUACGCUCUGAGAUGAGCCCGCGGCCCAUCAGCUGGUUGGCGGUGUAACGGACCACCAAGGCAACGACGGGUAGCUGGUCGGAGAGGACGACCAGCCCCACUGGACCUGAGACACGGUCCAGACGCCUACGGGAGGCAGCAGUGGGGAAUUUUCCACAAUGGGCGAAAGCCUGAUGGAGCAACGCAGCGUGUGUGAUGAAGGUUUUCGGAUCGUAAAGCACUUUCGACCGGGACGAAAAACCUCUGGCUAACAUCCAGGGGCCUGACGGUACCGGGAGAAGAAGCACCGGCUAACUCUGUGCCAGCAGCCACAGUAA
rnacentral:rRNA from 1 species